rnacentral:rRNA from 1 species
GGGCUUGACAUCCCACGAACCUGCCUGAAAGGGCGGGGUGCCCGCAAGGGAGCGUGGAGACAGGUGGUGCAUGGCUGUCGUCAGCUCGUGUCGUGAGAUGUUGGGUUAAGUCCCGCAACGAGCGCAACCCUCACCCCUGGUUGCCACCGGGUAAUGCCGAGCACUCGAGGGGAACUGCCAGCGUCAAGCUGGAGGAAGGCGGGGAUGACGUCAAGUCAUCAUGCCCCUUACGCCCUGGGCUACACACGUGCUACAAUGGCCGGUACAAAGGGACGCGAGACCGCAAGGUGGAGCUAAUCCCAAAAAACUGGUCUAAGUUCAGAUUGCAGUCUGCAACUCGACUGCAUGAAGGAGGAAUCGCUAGUAAUCGCGCAUCAGCACGGCGCGGUGAAUACGUUCCCGGGCCUUGUACAUACCGCCCGUCACACCACGAAAGCUGUCUGUACUCGAAGUCGCUGAG